rnacentral:rRNA from 1 species
ACGGGUAAGUAGCCUGCCGGAUGUACCGAGCAGUGGACGAUAACUAAUGCCAAAAUUAGUGACCACCUCAUCGUUCGGAUGUGGAAUGCAAGGGAUCAUUGGGACUUUUGAGGCCCAUUCCGUGAAUAUCUGAUUACCUGGUUGGUGGCUUGACGGCGUAGCCAGCGUACGAUGGCCAGCGGGUCUGAGAGGACGAUCCGCCACUGUGAGACCGACCCAAGGCCUACAUUCGGACAUUAGUCAGAGGUGGGGAAAUUUGCACAAUGGUCGUACGCCAGAUCCACCCGUGCCGCGUGUCGGAUGAUUUCCUUCUGGAUGAAAAAGACUUUUGUCAUGAAGAAAUGACGACAGCUUAAUAACCCCUGUCUGAUGCCGGUAUCUCAUGACUCACGCCCAUUCAUAUACUUGCGGGGAUGGGCGGAUUUACGUAGGGUGAUAAGUAUUAAUCGAAAUUAUUCGUGUCUACCGCGGGCACGCCCUGUUACUGACUCACCAUGUGAAUUCCCCGGGCUCGGCUUUGCAACUGUCGAUCUGAAUGGUGUUCAUAUUUGCGCGUCAGACGGAGAAUAAUUCCUCGGUACACAGUAAGUUACGCGUAAGUUGCAAAACCAUACCAGAUGACGAGAAUUAGGCCCCCUGGGUAGUACCGAGAUGAUCAAGUCUUAUGCGAUUGCUAGUCGACGACGAUCUAGAUACCAAGGUGAUUGGCAUCCC